rnacentral:rRNA from 1 species
AAGUCGAACGUGAAAGCACUUCGGUGUGAGUAGAGUGGCGGACGGGUGAGUAACGCGUGGGAAUCUACCCAGUAGUGGGGGACAACUACCGGAAACGGUAGCUAAUACCGCAUACGCCCUAUGGGGGAAAGGCUUCGGCCGCUAUUGGAUGAGCCCGCGUCAGAUUAGCUAGUUGGUAGGGUAAAGGCCUACCAAGGCAACGAUCUGUAGCUGGUCUGAGAGGACGAACAGCCACACUGGGACUGAGACACGGCCCAGACUCCUACGGGAGGCAGCAGUGGGGAAUAUUGGACAAUGGGCGAAAGCCUGAUCCAGCAAUGCCGCGUGUGUGAAGAAGGCCUGCGGGUUGUAAAGCACUUUCAGUUGGGAAGAUGAUGACGUUACCAACAGAAGAAGCACCGGCUAAAUCCGUGCCAGCAGCCGCGGUAAUACGGAUGGUGCGAGCGUUAAUCGGAAUUACUGGGCGUAAAGCGCGCGUAGGCGGCUAAGUCAGUCAGAAGUGAAAGCCCCGGGCUCAACCUGGGAAUUGCUUUUGAUACUGCUUAGCUAGAGUUUGGUAGAGGAUAGUGGAAUUUCAGGUGUAGCGGUGAAAUGCGUAGAUAUCUGAAGGAACAUCAGUGGCGAAGGCGACUGUCUGGACCAAAACUGACGCUGAGGUGCGAAAGCGUGGGUAGCAAACAGGAUUAGAUACCCUGGUAGAAGGGC